CAAGGAGCGGUUUGCUGGAGUGGA
rnacentral:piRNA from 1 species